rnacentral:rRNA from 1 species
UACGAAGGGGGCUAGCGUUGCUCGGAAUCACUGGGCGUAAAGCGCACGUAGGCGGAUCUUUAAGUCGGGGGUGAAAUCCUGGAGCUCAACUCCAGAACCGCCUUCGAUACUGGGGAUCUCGAGUCCGGGAGAGGUGAGUGGAACUCCGAGUGUAGAGGUGAAAUUCGUAGAUAUUCGGAAGAACACCAGUGGCGAAGGCGGCUCACUGGCCCGGUACUGACGCUGAUGUGCGAAAGCGUGGGGAGCAGACAGG